rnacentral:rRNA from 1 species
UACAGAGGUGGCAAGCGUUGUUCGGAAUUACUGGGCGUAAAGGGCGCGUAGGCGGCCAUCUAAGUCAGACGUGAAAUCCCCCGGCUUAACCUGGGAACUGCGUCUGAUACUGGACGGCUUGAGUAUGGGAGAGGGAUGUAGAAUUCCAGGUGUAGCGGUGAAAUGCGUAGAUAUCUGGAGGAAUACCGGUGGCGAAGGCAGCUCGCUGGAACGUUACUGACGCUGAGACGCGAAAGCGUGGGGAGCAAACAGG